AUUGAACGCUGGCGGCAGGCCUAACACAUGCAAGUCGAACGAGUGGCGGACGGGUGAGUACUGUCUGGGAAACUGCCUGAUGGAGGGGGAUAACUACUGGAAACGGUAGCUAAUACCGCAUACCAUCCGAUGAGCCCAGAUGGGAUUAGCUAGUUGGUGGGGUAACGGGUCACCAAGGAGACGAUCCCUAGCUGGGCUGAGAGGAUGACCAGCCACAAUGGAACUGAGACACGGUCCAGACUCCUACGGGAGGCAGCAGUGGGGAAUAUGGCACAAUGGGCGCAAGCCUGAUGCAGCCAUGCCGCGUGGAUGAAGAAGGCCUUCGGGUUGUAAAGUACUUUCAGCGGGGAGGCGUUACCCGCAGAAGAAGCACCGGCUAACUCCGUGCCAGCAGCCGCGGUAAUUC
rnacentral:rRNA from 1 species